GAGAUAGACUGGGACACCGAGAACUGCUAAUUACUCGCUGCCGGGGUUCAAUUCCACGGCUAACUCG
rnacentral:tRNA from 1 species